CCUACGGGGGGCUGCAGUGGGGAAUAUUGCACAAUGGGCGCAAGCCUGAUGCAGCCAUGCCGCGUGUGUGAAGAAGGCCUUCGGGUUGUAAAGCACUUUCAGCGGGGAGGAAGGCGGUGAGGUUAAUAACCUCAUCGAUUGACGUUACCCGCAGAAGAAGCACCGGCUAACUCCGUGCCAGCAGCCGCGGUAAUACGGAGGGUGCAAGCGUUAAUCGGAAUUACUGGGCGUAAAGCGCACGCAGGCGGUCUGUCAAGUCGGAUGUGAAAUCCCCGGGCUCAACCUGGGAACUGCAUUCGAAACUGGCAGGCUAGAGUCUUGUAGAGGGGGGUAGAAUUCCAGGUGUAGCGGUGACAUGCGUAGAGAUCUGGAGGAAUACCGGUGGCGAAGGCGGCCCCCUGGACAAAGACUGACGCUCAGGUGCGAAAGCGUGGGGAGCAAACAGGAUUAGAUACCCUAGUAGUC
rnacentral:rRNA from 1 species